rnacentral:rRNA from 1 species
UGGGGAAUUUUGGACAAUGGGGGCAACCCUGAUCCAGCCAUUCCGCGUGAGUGAAGAAGGCCUUCGGGUUGUAAAGCUCUUUCAGCAGGAACGAAACGGUCGGCUUUAAUAAAGUCGGCUAAUGACGGUACCUGCAGAAGAAGCACCGGCUAACUACGUGCCAGCAGCCGCGGUAAUACGUAGGGUGCAGGCGUUAAUCGGAAUUACUGGGCGUAAAGCGUGCGCAGGCGGUUUGUUAAGACAGGUGUGAAAUCCCCGGGCUUAACCUGGGAAUUGCGCUUGUAACUGGCAGGCUAGAGUGUGGCAGAGGGGGGUGGAAUUCCACGUGUAGCAGUGAAAUGCGUAGAUAUGUGGAGGAACACCGAUGGCGAAGGCAGCCCCCUGGGUUAACACUGACGCUCAUGCACGAAAGCGUGGGGAGCAAACAGGAUUAGAUACCCAAGUAGUCCCUGAGCGGGCUGGCAAGGCGCAU